GCACCCAUAGCUCAGCUGGAUAGAGCACAAGUUUCCUAAACUUGGUGUCGGGUGUUCGAAUCAUCCUGGGUGCGCCA
rnacentral:tRNA from 1 species